UUCAGAAUAAAGUAAUGGGCAUUGAUGCGCUGAAGGUCAAACUGCAGAUUUGGGACACUGCUGGACAGGAACGUUUCCGGAGCGUCACACACGCUUACUAUCGUGAUGCUAAUGCUCUCCUUCUUCUCUAUGAUGUCACUAACAAAGCAUCCUUCGACAACAUCCGGG